GAUGAACGCUGGCGGCGUGCUUAACACAUGCAAGUCGAACGGAGAGCCAUUGAAAGAGGAUUCGUCCAAUUGAUAUGGUUUCUUAGUGGCGGACGGGUGAGUAACGCGUGAGUAACCUGCCUUGGAGUGGGGAAUAACACAGAGAAAUUUGUGCUAAUACCGCAUAAGCCCACAGGUCGGCAUCGACCAGAGGGAAAAGGAGCAAUCCGCUUUGAGAUGGCCUCGCGUCCGAUUAGCUAGUUGGUGAGGUAACGGCCCACCAAGGCGACGAUCGGUAGCCGGACUGAGAGGUUGAACGGCCACAUUGGGACUGAGACACGGCCCAG
rnacentral:rRNA from 1 species